AUUGAACGCUGGCGGCAGGCUUAACACAUGCAAGUCGAACGAUGAUUAUCUAGCUUGCUAGAUAUGAUUAGUGGCGGACGGGUGAGUAACAUUUAGGAAUCUGCCUAGUAGUGGGGGAUAGCUCGGGGAAACUCGAAUUAAUACCGCAUACGACCUACGGGUGAAAGGGGGCGCAAGCUCUUGCUAUUAGAUGAGCCUAAAUCAGAUUAGCUAGUUGGUGGGGUAAAGGCCCACCAAGGCGACGAUCUGUAACUGGUCUGAGAGGAUGAUCAGUCACACCGGAACUGAGACACGGUCCGGACUCCUACGGGAGGCAGCAGUGGGGAAUAUUGGACAAUGGGGGCAACCCUGAUCCAGCCAUGCCGCGUGUGUGAAGAAGGCCUUUUGGUUGUAAAGCACUUUAAGCAGGGAGGAGAGGCUAAUGGUUAAUACCCAUUAGAUUAGACGUUACCUGCAGAAUAAGCACCGGCUAACUCUGUGCCAGCAGCCGCGGUAAUACAGAGGGUGCGAGCGUUAAUCGGAAUUACUGGGCGUAAAGCGAGUGUAGGUGGCUCAUUAAGUCACAUGUGAAAUCCCCGGGCUUAACCUGGGAACUGCAUGUGAUACUGGUGGUGCUAGAAUAUGUGAGAGGGAAGUAGAAUUCCAGGUGUAGCGGUGAAAUGCGUAGAGAUCUGGAGGAAUACCGAUGGCGAAGGCAGCUUCCUGGCAUAAUAUUGACACUGAGAUUCGAAAGCGUGGGUAGCAAACAGGAUUAGAUACCCUGGUAGUCCACGCCGUAAACGAUGUCUACUAGCCGUUGGGGUCCUUGAGACUUUAGUGGCGCAGUUAACGCGAUAAGUAGACCGCCUGGGGAGUACGGCCGCAAGGUUAAAACUCAAAUGAAUUGACGGGGGCCCGCACAAGCGGUGAGCAUGUGGUUUAAUUCGAUGCAACGCGAAGAACCUUACCUGGUCUUGACAUAGUGAGAAUCCUGCAGAGAUGCGGGAGUGCCUUCGGGAAUUCACAUACAGGUGCUGCAUGGCUGUCGUCAGCUCGUGUCGUGAGAUGUUGGGUUAAGUCCCGCAACGAGCGCAACCCUUUUCCUUAUUUGCCAGCGGGUUAAGCCGGGAACUUUAAGGAUACUGCCAGUGACAAACUGGAGGAAGGCGGGGACGACGUCAAGUCAUCAUGGCCCUUACGACCAGGGCUACACACGUGCUACAAUGGUAGGUACAGAGGGUUGCUACACAGCGAUGUGAUGCUAAUCUCAAAAAGCCUAUCGUAGUCCGGAUUGGAGUCUGCAACUCGACUCCAUGAAGUCGGAAUCGCUAGUAAUCGCAGAUCAGAAUGCUGCGGUGAAUACGUUCCCGGGCCU
rnacentral:rRNA from 1 species